GGGAAUAUUGCGCAAUGGGGGAAACCCUGACGCAGCAACGCCGCGUGGAGGAUGACACUUUUCGGAGCGUAAACUCCUUUUCUUAGGGAAGAAUUCUGACGGUACCUAAGGAAUAAGCACCGGCUAACUCCGUGCCAGCAGCCGCGGUAAUACGGAGGGUGCAAGCGUUACUCGGAAUCACUGGGCGUAAAGGGCGCGUAGGCGGAUUAUCAAGUCUCUUGUGAAAUCUAAUGGCUUAACCAUUAAACUGCUUGGGAAACUGAUAGUCUAGAGUGAGGGAGAGGCAGAUGGAAUUGGUGGUGUAGGGGUAAAAUCCGUAGAUAUCACCAAGAAUACCCAUUGCGAAGGCGAUCUGCUGGAACUCAACUGACGCUAAGGCGCGAAAGCGUGGGGAGCAAACAGGAUUAGAUACCCUGGUAGUCCACGCCCUAAACGAUGUACACUAGUUGUUGGGGUGCUAGUCAUCUCAGUAAUGCAGCUAACGCAUUAAGUGUACCGCCUGGGGAGUACGGUCGCAAGAUUAAAACUCAAAGGAAUAGACGGGGACCCGCACAAGCGGUGGAGCAUGUGGUUUAAUUCGAAGAUACGCGAAGAACCUUACCUGGGCUUGAUAUCCUAAGAACCUUUUAGAGAUAAGAGGGUGCUAGCUUGCUAGAACUUAGAGACAGGUGCUGCACGGCUGUCGUCAGCUCGUGUCGUGAGAUGUUGGGUUAAGUCCCGCAACGAGCGCAACCCACGUAUUUAGUUGCUAACGGUUCGGCCGAGCACUCUAAAUAGACUGCCUUCGUAAGGAGGAGGAAGGUGUGGACGACGUCAAGUCAUCAUGGCCCUUAUGCCCAGGGCGACACACGUGCUACAAUGGCAUAUACAAUGAGACGCAAUACCGCGAGGUGGAGCAAAUCUAUAAAAUAUGUCCCAGUUCGGAUUGUUCUCUGCAACUCGAGAGCAUGAAGCCGGAAUCGCUAGUAAUCGUAGAUCAGCCAUGCUACGGUGAAUACGUUCCCGGGUCUUGUACUCACCGCCCGUCACACCAUGGGAGUUGAUUUCACUCGAAGCCGGAAUACUAAACUAGUUACCGUCCACAGUGGAAUCAGCGACUGGGGUGAAGUCGUAACAAGGUAACCGUAGGAGAACCU
rnacentral:rRNA from 1 species